rnacentral:rRNA from 1 species
AACGAACGCUGGCGGCAGGCCUAACACAUGCAAGUCGAGCGAGCAUUUCGGUGCUAGCGGCGGACAGGUGAGUAACGCGUGGGAACGUGCCCUUUUCUGCGGAAUAGUCCUGGGAAACUGGGGGUAAUACCGCAUACGCCCUUUUGGGGAAAGAUUUAUCGGAGAAGGAUCGGCCCGCGUUGGAUUAGGUAGUUGGUGGGGUAAUGGCCCACCAAGCCGACGAUCCAUAGCUGGUUUGAGAGGAUGAUCAGCCACACUGGGACUGAGACACGGCCCAGACUCCUACGGGAGGCAGCAGUGGGGAAUCUUAGACAAUGGGGGCAACCCUGAUCUAGCCAUGCCGCGUGAGUGAUGAAGGCCUUAGGGUUGUAAAGCUCUUUCAGCUGGGAAGAUAAUGACGGUACCAGCAGAAGAAGCCCCGGCUAACUCCGUG